AGUAACUAAUUGCAUGUAAGUAUUGGAUUUAUAUUAAUCUCAGCAAAACCCCAGUGUACAGCCACUACAGGCAUUUACACAGUUAAACAUAUGAAACAUUACACACAGAGAUUACACAUACAAACACACACCCAAAUAUAUGAACACUUAGGGCUCCUUGAUAUGUAUCUUUAUAUUCCAAAAAAAAGUUUUAUAUAUGCUUAUGCCCAUAAAAC